rnacentral:SRP_RNA from 1 species
CAGCGCUAGAUGGGGAGGUAGCGGUUCCUUGUAACCAUCAAUCCGCUAUAGUUGGAUUUAAUUCCCAGUUUGAGGCUAAUUUUACUUACCAAGCGCUUAACAAGUGGUGUUGACGAAAUGGUCUCACGCAAUAAGAGCCUAUGAACCAUGUCAGGUCCGGAAGGAAGCAGCAUUAAAUAGUCACUUUUAUGUGCCGUGAGGUAGCCUUUUCUGAGCUAACUAUUAAGUAGCAGUAGGUAGAACUUAGGCGAUUCUGGGUGCGCCU